CGGGUCUGGAUUUCUUGGACUGAGGCAGGAUCGCAGACUGCCGUUUCGGAGCCAUGGCACGAGGAGGUGGCCUGAAGCCAGAGGGCAGAGGCCCAAUGUUCGCAGCAGGAGGAGACUCGGAGGAACUGAGGCGGCCUCAGUUUGGUAUCGGGGAGACUUAGAUACGUGCUGUUGCCUCACGUCAGCCUGGAACAUUCUUCACUCUUCCCAACCCCCAACUCGUGCGUCUGGCUAGACUCCUUCCCAGCCUGCAGAUCGCCGCUUGGAGGGACAGAUGAAUGUUGAAGAAAAGGGAUUCCCAGGCGAGAAUUACAAAAGUCGCCGUGGGGGAGGGGAGGGAAGCCUUGGCUCAUCAUUCCAUCUACUCAAAGGGCUUGUGUCAGAGAAGUUAAGUGCGUUGGCUCAGCGUGUAAUUAUACUUUUUGGGGGGGGCGUUUUUGUUUCGCUUUGUUUUCGAGACAGGAUUUCUCUGUGUAGCCGUGGCUAUCUUGGAACUCACUCUGUAGACAGAACUCAAGAGAUCUGUCUGUCUCUGCCUCCCGAGUUCCGGGGUUAAAGGCCUGUGUCACCACGGCCUGCUCUUAGCCUGUAAUCUUUUUAUUUGUUUGUUUUUCGAGUCAGGGUUUCUCAGUAUGUAUUCCGGCUGUCCUGAAAUCACGCUGUAGAUCAGGCUGACCUCCAACUCAGAGAUCCCCUGCUCCCGCCUCCCAAGUGCUGACGUUAAAGGCUGCACCACCGCUCAGCUGUAAUCUUAGCGCUCAGAAGUUGAGGCCGGAGGAUCGCAGGUUUCAGACCAGCCUGGACUACAGUGCAAGACCUUGUCCUACAAAACUAAGUGGAAAAAGAAUAAUAAAAUAUUUUUCGUGUGUGUGAGGUGCUGGAGUUGGAAGCAAAGCCGCCUUCGAGCCACUGCCCAGCUACCUGGGGCCUGUAGGGAGGAUUACAGAUCACCUGGCUUGAGUGUCACAUACCCAGGUAAUAAGGAACAAAUGUGGAGAAUGUAGCCCAACAGAAGUGCAUGUGCCCACCAAUUAAAAAGCAUUGCAAAAAUAAAAAUAAAAAAAUUUUAAAAAGUACUGAGCAGAUGAGAUGGCUCAGAAGGUAAAUGCACUUGCAAUCAAACUUUAGGACCUAAGUUCUAUCCCCAUGUCUGCUAGUAAUGCUCUGACUCUCCCACCACCACACUGUGUACACGCACUCAUACAAAGAAAUAUUUUUUUAAUUUUUCUGAGAGACAGUUUCACUAUAUAGUCUUGGCUGGUUUGGAACUCACUGUGUAGACCAGGCUGGCCUCGAACUCAUGAUAUCUGCCUGCCUCUGAAGUGCUGAGAUUAAAAGUCUGUGCACAAAAGAAAUUUUAAAAAUGCAGUUCAAAAGCUGGGUGUGGUGGCACACACCUGUAAUCCCAGUGCUUGGUAGGCAGAGGCAGGCGGAUUUCUGUUAGUUCCAGGCCAUCCUGGUCUUAAAAGCAAGUCCAUAACAGCCAAGGCUACAGAGAGAAACCCUGUCUCUAAAAACCAAAAAAAUAAAAAAAUAAAUAAAAAUAGGAAUUAAGUUUAGAAACAAUGUUGAAUGAAAUAUAAGACACAUCAGUAGUAAACAGUGGGCCAUCUUCUGCGGAUAAAUUAGAGAAUGAGGCCAGGCUUGGUGAAUCACAUUCACAUCUAUGCACCACGGAGGCUGAAAUAGAAGGACUGAUGCAGAAUGGAGGCCAGCCUGGGAUACGGAAUGAGACCUUGUCUCCAAAAAGGGGGAUGGGGGCAUGGCAGGAUGGCUUAGCAGGUAGAGGCACCAACCUGAUUGCUUGGGUUUGAUCCCCAGGACAUACAGGGUGGAAGGAGACCACACCAAAGAGAUGGCUUAUGUGCACAUUCAUAUAAUAUGAUCAAUAAGCGUAAAACAAAACAAAAUGAAUGUAAUUUUAAGACUAUAGCCGUGGUUAAGAGCACUGUUUGCUCCUCCAGGCUCACAUCCUAGCACCCACGUGGUGAUUCACAGGCAUCUGUAACUCCAGGUCCAAGGGAUCCUAGUCAGGUCUCCUGGGGCACACAAAAAUACACAGGGCCAAAACACUCAUACACAUAAAAAAGUAGAAACUGAAGCUAUAUUUUUACUAUUUAUGUGUAUGUGAACGUCAUGCGAAUGUGUAUGCAUGGGUCUACCGCAUGUGUGUCAAGCCCUUGGGGGCCCGAAGAGGCAUCGUGUCUCCUGCAACUGGCAUUAUGGGUGUUUGUGAGCCACCGUGAGGGUCCUGGAAACUGAUCCUUGCCCUCUUCGAGAGCAAUAAGUGCUUUAAAACCUGAGCCAUCUCUCCAGCCACAUCAUUAAAUUUGUUUCAGUUAAAUAAAAUACAUAGCAUCCUUUAGCCUGAGAGUGUGGCUCAGAAUACUAACCUAACUAUGCACAAAGCCUGAGUUCCAUUCUUAGCACCACCAAAAUUUUGGCUAUUCAUCCAUGCCUGUAAUCCCAGCACUAGGGAGUUACAGGCAACAUGCUCAGAAUUUCAAGAUCAUGCUUGACUCCUCCACUGAGAGUUCAAAGCCAGCCUCAGACACAGGAGAACCUGUCUCACUAAGUAUAAAAAGAUAGCCUGGCAGUGGUGGCACAUGACUUUUAUGCCACGACUUGGGAGGCAGAGGCAGGCAGAUCUCUGUCAGUUUCAUCUACAGAGUGAGUUCCAGGACAGCCAAGGCUACACAAAGGAAGAAGAGGAAGAAGAAGAAAAAGAAGAAACUGUAUCUAUACACAUGACUGCAUUACCCAAGGAGGCCAAAAGAGGGAAUCAGAUAUCCCUGGAGCUGGAAUUACAGGCAGUUGUGAGCUGGCCCAUCUGGAUGCUGGGGACCUAACUUUGGUCCUCUAGAAGAGUAAUAAGUACUGUUAACCCCUGAGUCAUCUCUCCAUCCUCAACACUUUAAAUAUAUAUAUUUGUUUUAUAUAUUUUUUUAUUUUUUAGAAAGUCCAUUCAUUUAGUGUGCUGCGAAGUAGCAACAGAAUUCAGUUGUUUUGUUGUUGAGGGUGGGUCUCACUGCAUUGUCCACGCUAUCAUUAAAGUCUUUUUAUGUACAUUUUUAA